rnacentral:rRNA from 1 species
AUGCUUCAUACAUGCAAGUCGAACGAUAAGGUCUCUUCGGAGAUACAUAAGUGGCGGACGGGUGAGUAAUAUGUAGGAAAUCGUGCCCUUGAGAGGGGGACAACAGAGGGAAACUUCUGCUAAUACCCCAUAUGAGCGUACCUGAAAUGGUAUUCUUGAAAACUCCGGUGCUCAAGGAUGAGCCUGCAUCUGAUUAGCUUGUUGGCGGUGUAAUGGACCACCAAGGCGACGAUCCAGUAGCUGGUUUGAGAGGAUGAUCAGCCACAAUGGGACUGAGACACGGCCCAUACUCCUACGGGAGGCAGCAGUAGGGAAUUUUGCGCAAUGGGCGAAAGCCUGAACCGCAGCAAUGCCGCGUGAACGUAGAAGCCCUUCGGGGUGUAAAGUUCUGUCAGUGGGGACGAAUUCUGACGGUACCCACAGAGGAAGCACCGGCUAACUACGUGCCAGCCGCCGC